UACGGAGGGUGCAAGCGUUAUCCGGAUUCACUGGGUUUAAAGGGUGCGUAGGUGGGUUGGUAAGUCAGUGGUGAAAUCCCCGAGCUUAACUUGGGAACUGCCAUUGAUACUAUCAGUCUUGAAUACCGUGGAGGUCAGCGGAACAUGUCAUGUAGCGGUGAAAUGCUUAGAUAUGACAUAGAACACCAAUUGCGAAGGCAGCUGGCUACACGAAUAUUGACACUCAGGCACGAAAGCGUGGGAUCAAACAGG
rnacentral:rRNA from 1 species